GAUGAACGCUGGCGGCGUGCCUAACACAUGCAAGUCGAACGAAUUGCUUUAAAGGAAGUUUCGGAUGGAAUUUAAAGUAGUUAGUGGCGGACGGGUGAGUAACGCGUGGGAAACCUGCCCUAUACAGGGGGAUAGCCUCGGGAAACUGGGAUUAAUACCCCAUAAAACUCUAGUAUCGCAUGAUACAUGAGCCAAAGAUUUAUCGGUAUAGGAUGGUCCCGCGUCUGAUUAGCUAGUUGGUGAGGUAACGGCUCACCAAGGCGACGAUCAGUAGCCGGCCUGAGAGGGUGAACGGCCACACUGGAACUGAGACACGGUCCAGACUCCUACGGGAGGCAGCAGUGGGGAAUAUUGCACAAUGGGGGAAACCCUGAUGCAGCGACGCCGCGUGAGCGAAGAAGGCCUUCGGGUCGUAAAGCUCUGUCCUAAGGGAAGAAACGGACGGUACCUUAGGAGGAAGCCCCGGCUAACUACGUG
rnacentral:rRNA from 1 species